AGUGAACGCUGGCGGUAGGCCUAACACAUGCAAGUCGAACGGCAGCACAGUAAGAGCUUGCUCUUACGGGUGGCGAGUGGCGGACGGGUGAGGAAUACAUCGGAAUCUACUUUUUCGUGGGGGAUAACGUAGGGAAACUUACGCUAAUACCGCAUACGACCUACGGGUGAAAGCAGGGGAUCUUCGGACCUUGCGCGAUUGAAUGAGCCGAUGUCGGAUUAGCUAGUUGGCGGGGUAAAGGUCCACCAAGGCGACGAUCCGUAGCUGGUCUGAGAGGAUGAUAAGCCACACUGGAACGGAGACACGGUCCAGACUCCUACGGGAGGCAGCAGUGGGGAAUAUUGGACAAUGGGCGCAAGCCUGAUCCAGCCAUACCGCGUGGGUGAAGAAGGCCUUCGGGUUGUAAAGCCCUUUUGUUGGGAAAGAAAAGCAGCAGGUUAAUACCCCGCUGUUCUGACGGUACCCAAAGAAUAAGCACCGGCUAACUUCGUG
rnacentral:rRNA from 1 species